AAAGUUGAAUAAUAAGGGGUGGUGUUUGGUUUUCUGUUCCUGCAUUAGUUUGCUGGGAAUAGUGGCUUCCAACUCCAUCCAUGUCCUUGCAAAGGAUGUGAUCUCAUUCCUUUUUAUGGCAACAUAGUAUUGCAUGUACCACAUUUUCUUUAUCCAGUCUAUUGUUGAUGGGCAUUUAGGUUGAUUCCAUGACUUUCCUACUGUAAAUAGUGCUGCAAGGAACAUAUG
rnacentral:lncRNA from 1 species